GCGUACCCAAGAAAGGAAGAAAGGUGAGUUUUGAUUUCAAUGUAUAAUCUUUCACUGCUCAUUAGCCUUAUGAUCUCUCUGUCUCUCUCUAAGCGCACAGAUCAUAAAUAUAGAAUUGUGAAAAGUACACACACACAUACACAGAGAGAAAGAGAGAAUAUGGUUCUUCUUCAUUGUUAAAUGACUACGUGAAAAUUCUUUCUUAUUUUAGCAUUCUCUUCUGUUACACUUAGAAUUACCAAAAGAUUUUCAGUAGAAGAUU
rnacentral:misc_RNA from 1 species